AUGGCGUUUUGUGACAAGGAAAUCCGGAUGUCACUGUGUUGUUUGAGGCGCCACCUGGUGGACCGUCGUUCCAUUCCUGGCCAAGUCUCCAGCCAUGACUCACAUCCCCAGGCUUUCGAGCAGAACCGAGGGCAGGUGGAAGAAGUCAGUGGGGGUGCUGGUGCGGGAUUGAGGGGGAUAAGCUGGAAAGUCCAUUUGCCAGUAAUGGUGAUACGAGAGUUUGCCCCCCUUGUUUGGCCAGGCAAGCUAGAGGCCAUGAGGAGGAACAGCACACCAGCGUUUGCGCCGGCGGUAGCUGCGUCUAGCUCAGCUCCCCCUUCCCCGACCCCUCGGCCCCACGGCGCCCGCCUCCUCCACGGCCACUCCGCCUCUUCCUUCCGCCAUUCCCUUCCUCCUCUCCCUUCUUCCUUCCUCCUUCUCCUCCUCGCCACCCUAGCCGCCCCCGCCACUACCUCCACUGCCCAGGACCGCCAGCUAGGGGACAAGCUCGGGGCAGCAGCCAGGAAAAGCAUAACCCCUACUGUAGAACUAAAUGCACUGUGAAUGAAACUUGGAAAAAAAAAAAAACGUAUAAACCUGUCGACCCUUACUCUAGGAUGCAGUCCACCUAUAACUACAUGAGAGGAGGUGCUUAUCCCCCAAGGUACUUUUACCCAUUUCCAGUACCUCCUUUACUUUUUCAAGUUGAGCUUUCUGUGGGAGGAGAGCAGUUUAACGGGAAAGGCAAGAGGAGGCAGGUCGCGAGACACGACACCACUGCGAAAGCUUUGCAGACCCUGCAGAGUGAGCCCCCGCGGCCAGGCGAGCAGGUGAAUGGAAGAGAAUCAGAAGAAAAUCUCAGUAAAUCGGAAAUAAGUCAAGUGUUUGACAUUGCACUUAAACGGAAUUUGCCUGUGAAUUUUGAGGUUGCCAGGGAGAGUGGACCACCCCCAUUUGAAGAGCUUUGUGACAAGUUGGGGAGUUUGUGGGGGAAGGUGAAGGGAAGAGCAAGAAGAUUUCAAAGAAAAACGCUACUAUCGCCGUCCUCGAGAAGCUGAAGAAACUACCACCGCUGCCUACGGUCGAGCGAGUGAGGUCCAGAAUCAAAAAGAAAAUCCAUAGUCAGGCUACAGAGCAGCACAGACUGUGGCCAGGGGAUGAACCAAUCAGCAGACUGGCCCAGAUCCAGCAGGCGAAAAAGGAGAAGGAGCCAGAGUACAUGCUCCUCACAGAGCGAGGCCUCCCGCGCUGCAGAGAGUUUGUGAUGCAGAUGAAGGUGGGAAACCAUACCGCAGAAGGAACAGGCACCAACAAGAAGGUGGCUAAACGCAACACAGCUGAGAACAUGCUGGAGAUCUUUGGUUUCAAAGUCCCACAGGCUCAGCCCACCAAACCAGCCCUCAAAUCAGAGAAGACACCAAUAGAAAAACCAGGGGAUGGAAGAAAAGUAACCUUUUUUGAACCUUCCUCUGGGGAUGAAAAUGGAAUUAGCAAUAAAGAGGAUGAGUUCAGGAUGCCUUAUUUUAGUCAUCAGCAGCUGCCUGCGGGGAUUCUUCCCAUGGUGCCCGAGGUUGCCCAGGCUGUAGGAAUCAGUUAAGGACACCACGCCAAAGAUUUCACCAGGGCAGCUCCAAAUCCUGCUAAGGCCAGGGUAACUGCCAUGAUAGCCUGUGAGUUGUUGUAUGGGAGCACCUUGCCCACAGCCGAUACCAUUUUAAAGAAUAACAUCUCUUCAGGCCAAGUACCCCAUGGACUUCUUACAAGACCCUCUGAGCAGCUGGACUAUCUUUCCAGAGUCCAGGGAUUCCAGGUUGAAUACAAAGCCUUCCCCAAAAACAACAAGAACGAAUUUGUAUCUCUUAUCAAUUGCUCCUCUCAGCCACCUCUGAGCAGCCACGGUAUUGGAAAGGAUGUGGAGUCCUGCCAUGAUAUGGCUGCACUGAACAUCUUAAAGUUGCUGUCUGAGUUGGACCAACCGAGUACAGAGAUGCCAAGAACAGGAAAUGGGCUAAUGUCUGUGUGUGGGUGGUGCUGA